ACCAAGGCCACGAUGCAUAGCCGACCUGAGAGGGUGAUCGGCCACACUGGGACUGAGACACGGGCCAGACUCCUACGGGAGGCAGCAGUAGGGAAUCUUCGGCAAUGGACGAAAGUCUGACCGAGCAACGCCGCGUGAGUGAAGAAGGUUUUCGGAUCGUAAAACUCUGUUGUUAGAGAAGAACAAGGAUGAGAGUAGAACGUUCAUCCCUUGACGGUAUCUAACCAGAAAGCCACGGCUAACUACGUGCCAGCAGCCGCGGUAAUACGUAGGUGGCAAGCGUUGUCCGGAUUUAUUGGGCGUAAAGCGAGCGCAGGCGGUUUCUUAAGUCUGAUGUGAAAGCCCCCGGCUCAACCGGGGAGGGUCAUUGGAAACUGGGAGACUUGAGUGCAGAAGAGGAGAGUGGAAUUCCAUGUGUAGCGGUGAAAUGCGUAGAUAUAUGGAGGAACACCAGUGGCGAAGGCGGCUCUCUGGUCUGUAACUGACGCUGAGGCUCGAAAGCGUGGGGAGCGAACAGGAUUAGAUACCCUGGUAGUCCACCCCGUAAACGAUGAGUGCUAAGUGUUGGAGGGUUUCCGCCCUUCAGUGCUGC
rnacentral:rRNA from 1 species